UGGGGAAUAUUGCACAAUGGGCGCAAGCCUGAUGCAGCCAUGCCGCGUGUAUGAAGAAGGCCUUCGGGUUGUAAAGUACUUUCAGCGGGGAGGAAGGUGUUGUGGUUAAUAACCGCAGCAAUUGACGUUACCCGCAGAAGAAGCACCGGCUAACUCCGUGCCAGCAGCCGCGGAAAUACGGAGGGGGCAAGCGGUAAUCGGACUUACUGGGCGUAAAGCGCACGCAGGCGGUCUGUCAAGUCGGAUGUGAAAUCCCCGGGCUCAACCUGGGAACUGCAUUCGAAACUGGCAGGCUAGAGUCUUGUAGAGGGGGGUAGAAUUCCAGGUGUAGCGGUGAAAUGCGUAGAGAUCUGGAGGAAUACCGGUGGCGAAGGCGGCCCCCUGGACAAAGACUGACGCUCAGGUGCGAAAGCGUGGGGAGCAAACA
rnacentral:rRNA from 1 species